AGAGUUUGAUCAUGGCUCAGAACGAACGCUGGCGGCAUGCCUAAAACAUGCAAGUCGAACGGGUGUAGCAAUACACCAGUGGCAGACGGGUGCGUAACACGUGGGAACCUACCCAGAGGUUCGGAAUAGCUGCGGGAAACUGCAGGUAAUACCGAAUGUUGCCUGAGGGCUAAAGGAGCAAUCCGCCUUCGGAGGGGCCCGCGUCCGAUUAGCUAGUUGGCGAGGUAACGGCUCACCAAGGCGACGAUCGGUAGCUGGUCUGAGAGGAUGACCAGCCACACUGGAACUGAGAUACGGUCCAGACUCCUACGGGAGGCAGCAGUUGGGAAUAUUGGACAAUGGGGGAAACCCUGAUCCAGCAAUGCCGCGUGGGUGAUGAAGGCCUUCGGGUUGUAAAGCCCUUUUGGCGGGGACGAUGAUGACGGUACCCGCAGAAUAAGCCCCGGCUAACUUCGUGCCAGCAGCCGCGGUAAUACGAAGGGGGCUAGCGUUGUUCGGAAUUACUGGGCGUAAAGGGCGCGUAGGCGGCCGUGCAAGUCAGAUGUGAAAGCCCUGGGCUCAACCCAGGAGGUGCAUUUGAUACUGCAUGGCUAGAGUGUCGGAGAGGAUGGUGGAAUUCCCAGUGUAGAGGUGAAAUUCGUAGAUAUUGGGAAGAACACCGGUGGCGAAGGCGACCAUCUGGACGACAACUGACGCUGAGGCGCGAAAGCGUGGGGAGCAAACAGGAUUAGAUACCCUAGUAGUCC
rnacentral:rRNA from 1 species